rnacentral:tRNA from 1 species
UCCCUGCUGGCUCAGAUGGUAAAGAAUCUACCUGCAAUGUGGGAGACCUGGGUUCAAUCCCUGGGUUGGGAA